AUUGAACGCUGGCGGCAGGCCUAACACAUGCAAGUCGAACGGUAGCACAGAGAGCUUGCUCUCGGGUGACGAGUGGCGGACGGGUGAGUAACGUCUGGGAAACUGCCCGAUGGAGGGGGAUAACUACUGGAAACGGUAGCUAAUACCGCUUAACGUCGCAAGACCAAAGUGGGGGACCUUCGGGCCUCACACCAUCGGAUGUGCCCAGAUGGGAUUAGCUAGUAGGUGGGGUAAUGGCUCACCUAGGCGACGAUCCCUAGCUGGUCUGAGAGGAUGACCAGCCACACUGGAACUGAGACACGGUCCAGACUCCUACGGGAGGCAGCAGUGGGGAAUAUUGCACAAUGGGCGCAAGCCUGAUGCAGCCAUGCCGCGUGUAUGAAGAAGGCCUUCGGGUUGUAAAGUACUUUCAGCGGGGAGGAAGGCGGUGAAGUUAAUAACCUUGUCGAUUGACGUUACCCGCAGAAGAAGCACCGGCUAACUCCGUGCCAGCAGCCGCAGUAA
rnacentral:rRNA from 1 species